rnacentral:rRNA from 1 species
UUAACGGAGAGUUUGAUCCUGGCUCAGGACGAACGCUGGCGGCGUGCCUAAUACAUGCAAGUCGAGCGGAC